UACGAAGGGGGCUAGCGUUGUUCGGAAUUACUGGGCGUAAAGCGCGCGUAGGCGGAUCAGAAAGUUGGGGGUGAAAUCCCGGGGCUCAACCUCGGAACUGCCUCCAAAACUCCUGGUCUUGAGUUCGAGAGAGGUGAGUGGAAUUCCGAGUGUAGAGGUGAAAUUCGUAGAUAUUCGGAGGAACACCAGUGGCGAAGGCGGCUCACUGGCUCGAUACUGACGCUGAGGUGAGAAAGUGUGGGGAGCAAACAGG
rnacentral:rRNA from 1 species